rnacentral:rRNA from 1 species
UACCCGACUGAAGGACAACGCCGCCUUCGAGGUGGUCAAGGAGUGCCAACUCCCAGCGAACCGCAACAUCCUCGCCGAUCAACUCAUCCGCCUCGCCGGCGUCCGCGCCCAAGCCGACUACCCCGAACUAUUACGCCGCAUCGU